UACGUAGGGUGCAAGCGUUACUCGGAAUUACUGGGCGUAAAGCGUGCGCAGGCGGCUUUGCAAGACAGAUGUGAAAUCCCCGGGCUUAACCUGGGAACUGCAUUUGUGACUGCAAGGCUGGAGUGCGGCAGAGGGGGAUGGAAUUCCGCGUGUAGCAGUGAAAUGCGUAGAUAUGCGGAGGAGCACCGAUGGCGAAGGCAAUCCCCUGGGCCUGCACUGACGCUCAUGCACGAAAGCGUGGGGAGCAAACAGG
rnacentral:rRNA from 1 species